AGGAUUUCUUCAUAACUGCGAAGACUCUGAGAUAAAACAGUUCCGGCUCCAUGCUCCAUUAUUUUUGGACCUCUGUGGAAGUCUUACUGGAGGGGAAGAAUUUUGGCUUUCAUCCAAGGCAACAUAGCUGGACUGUAUGGAAUAACAGUCUUGAAGGAUGUCUCAACCACAAGCCCCUUUCCAGGAGAUAAGAAGUAAAUGCUUUCCAUGACUAGAAGGAAUGUCACAGGCAUGUAUUAGAGAUUCUGUUCUUGAGAGAGACAUCCUCUGAAGGUGUUUCAUGCUCUUCAGGCUAUGAACAAUGUGCUAAUAAUUCUCAGAGGAGUACGGAUAGCGAUCCUAGAGCCAGAAAAGCCAACUUCAGGAAAAGCAAAGUACAUGAGUCACUCUAGAAAUCUGGACGUGUGCAUGUGGAAGCAGGAGUCUUACCCCAAUGAAACUGGGACACGUAACCUUAGCCCCACCAACCUGUACUGCACUCAGAACUGCAGCCACCUCCGACAGUGAGCAUGCACUAAGUGCCAUUCCAUGUGGCAGAGCUAAGGUUGAUGGUGUGCUUUGCCUGAAGUUAGCAGGAUACCCAGAAGAUGGUUGUAAUUGUAGGUAAGUGUUGGCAUGUGAGGAAGGCAGGGCCAAGACAAUACAUUUGUAAUGUGAAAUGUUUAGCAUUUGCUGGCAUAAUUCCUCCCUAUUGAAAGUGGUGAAAAUGAGUCUUGCUUUUGUAUUUAUUGUGGACUGAAUUAAGUAAUGGAGUGGGCAAACAAAGCUACUUUUGGCUUACUUCCAGAAUAUGCAGAAGGUAAGGUUAUGUGGACAAUCACACUGCAUGAAAUAGA